CGGUAUGUCCAAUCCCGGGCUUUCUGCACCCAACCCCAUAUCCCCAGAAGAGGCUAGAGGGAGAGGGUCCCGAAUCCACAGAGGGCAGGAGAAGCAAUGAACUUGCAGGAGAAUGUCACCAUGGCUAUGGCGGUGGUUACCAUCUUUGCCUCCAUUUACUUCUUCCACAAGGUCCAGAAAUGAGAAGAUCUUAGGACCCUCAGACCUGAAGACCACACUCCUGCCCUAAAUAAUCGGCCUGGCCUCUUGGACUAAAUAAAUGUGACGGGCCUAUCCCGCCUGGUUCCUUU
rnacentral:lncRNA from 1 species